rnacentral:rRNA from 1 species
GAUGAACGCUGGCGGCGUGCCUAAUACAUGCAAGUCGAGCGAACGGACGAGAAGCUUGCUUCUCUGAUGUUAGCGGCGGACGGGUGAGUAACACGUGGAUAACCUACCUAUAAGACUGGGAUAACUUCGGGAAACCGGAGCUAAUACCGGAUAAUAUUUUGAACCGCAUGGUUCAAAAGUGAAAGACGGUCUUGCUGUCACUUAUAGAUGGAUCCGCGCUGCAUUAGCUAGUUGGUAAGGUAACGGCUUACCAAGGCAACGAUGCAUAGCCGACCUGAGAGGGUGAUCGGCCACACUGGAACUGAGACACGGUCCAGACUCCUACGGGAGGCAGCAGUAGGGAAUCUUCCGCAAUGGGCGAAAGGCUGACGGAGCAACGCCGCGUGAGUGAUGAAGGUCUUCGGAUCGUAAAACUCUGUUAUUAGGGAAGAACAUAUGUGUAAGUAACUGUGCACAUCUUGACGGUACCUAAUCAGAAAGCCACGGCUAACUACGUG